CCACCUAAUAAAACAGAGCGGAGGCGUUCUGCAGAGGAUGAAAUUUCAUCAGGGCUCAAAGACAGAUUUUAUGGGCGCAUUUGUUGUACCUGGUGGAACUGCGCAAGGAGCUCAAAAGCACACCAGAACAGGGAACAAGCCUGCAGGCCAAUUAUCUCAGAAAAGGCUGUUUUCAGAAUUUGGCACAGAAACCCUGUUUCUAGCCCACUGCUGCCCUCCUGGGUUCUUGGCGGUAGGUUGGUAAGAAAAGGCAAGACAUCUUUGCGUUUUUAAUACUUCCACUCCAGACAUGGAAACUGCUCAAGCCGUUAGUUCAGGCGUUAAAAGCAGUCCUGUUUUUAUUUUUAUCCUUUCUGAAACGUUUCUUCAGGAUCUAUGUUUAUAAUUUAAGACGGUUAUCAUUCCCAAGGAAGUCUGCACAUCUUUGAAAUUCUAGUAGGGACACAUGAAUAACCUCAGGAUUUGGGUUAUUAAAAGGGUCAAGAACAUUCAUUGUUUACAUUCCACCUCUGAUAUUAUCAUGGAGACAGGAGAAGUCCAGUCAGAACUCCUCCUCCUUUUUUAAUUCAAGCGUUAAGACAUCAGUGAUCAAGGAUCAUGUGAGCACGCUGCCUUUAUGCACAAUCCACGUACUCGUCAUCAUUCUUUAUGGAUGAAAACAAUAGAAAAAAAUGAACACUGACAAAUAAGUAGUUUAGCAUGUAGAAAAGGACAUUGCAGAACAUCUCAGGCCAUUGACCCCUCUAAAAGCUGUAGGAAGCAGCUGAAAAGUGAGAGGACAUGAACAAGUCUUCUAUCUAUAACUUCCAGAAAUUGUUGUAACCUUUUCAUCUCCAGAGACUGUGAUGAAUGAUGGUAAUAAAAAUACUGACACUUCCUUCUCUCCAAAUUACAUAUGUUUACCCCAGUAUACUUUGUCAUGAUUUUAUUUAUUUAGGAAGUACCAUAUUAGCAGCUAACUUGCACUGGGUCCUUGCCAGGUGCCAUACACCCAUCUAAGUACUUUAUGUGUGUUCACUCAUUUAAUCAUCACUGCAACCUCAUUGGGGUGGGUGCUGUGAGCAUCAUCACUGAAAAGAUAGGGAAACAGGAGGAGAG
rnacentral:lncRNA from 1 species